rnacentral:rRNA from 1 species
CGCGUAGACGGCUGUCUAAGUCUGGAGUGAAAGUCCUGUUUCAAGAUGGGAAUUGCUUUGGAGACUGGAUGGCUUGAGUGCGGAAGAGGUAAGUGGAAUUCCCAGUGUAGCGGUGAAAUGCGUAGAGAUUGGGAGGAACACCAGUGGCGAAGGCGACUUACUGGGCCGUAACUGACGUUGAUGCGCGAAAGCGUGGGGAGCGAACA